UACUGAUCUGCUGGAGCUAUGUGUUCUAAUUUACGUUCUAGUGUAAAGGCUCUCCAGCUCAUCAUCACAGUACAACUGAUUGGUUACAGUCUCAUUACUGGACACAAGAAGGAAGUGCAGAUGGUGAAUGAAAUGGCCAACAAAUGAUGUAAAGGGCAACAUGAAAGCUGAUGUAAAAUGCAACCUAGAAGUUUAAAGGCAAUAAAACACAAAAUAGGAAUACAAACAAGUUUACUGAUGACACAAAGCUGAGAGGAGUGGCUGAUA